rnacentral:rRNA from 1 species
UAGUCCACGCUGUAAACGAUGAUCACUUGUUAUUGGCGAUAUACUGUCAGUGGCAUAGCGAAAGUGUUAAGUGAUCCACCUGGGGAGUACGAUCGCAAGGUUGAAACUCAAAGGAAUUGACGGGGGCCCGCACAAGCGGUGGAGCAUGUGGUUUAAUUCGAUGAUACGCGAGGAACCUUACCAGGGCUUAAAUGGGAAAUGACAGAUUUGGAAACAAGUCCUUCUUCGGACAUUUUUCAAGGUGCUGCAUGGUUGUCGUCAGCUCGUGCCGUGAGGUGUUGGGUUAAGUCCCGUAACGAGCGCAACCCCUAUCUUUAGUUGCCAGCGGGUUAAGCCGGGGACUCUAGAGAAACUGCCAGCGUAAGCUGUGAGGAAGGUGGGGAUGACGUCAAAUCAUCACGGGCCCUUACGCCCUGGGGCCACACACGUGCUACAAUGGUAGGUACAGAGGGGCAGGCUACCGUGCGAGCGGGAUGCGAAUCUCAAAAACCU